UGUUUACUUUGUUAGCAACUUACCAAAAUUAAAAUGAUACAGAGAGGAUUAGUAUAGCCCCUGUGCAAGAAUGACAUGCAAAUUCUUGAAGCAUUUCAUUUUAAA